rnacentral:rRNA from 1 species
GACAGAGGCCUCAAGCGUUAGGCGGAAUCACUGGGCUUAAAGCGUGUGUAGGCGGAUCGUUAAGUGUCUUGUGAAAUCCCACGGCUCACCCGUGGAACGGCUGGGCAUACUGGCGAUCUUGGGCCAACUAGGGGCAACUGGAACAAGCGGUGGAGCGGUGAAAUGCGUAGAUAUCGUCUGGAACGCCGAAGGUGAAAACAGCUCGCUGGGGCUGCGCUGACGCUGAGACACGAAAGCCAGGGGAGCGAACGGG